rnacentral:rRNA from 1 species
CAAUAGCGUAUAUUAAAGUUGUUGCGGUUAAAAAGCUCGUAGUUGGAUUUCUGCCGAGGACGACCGGUCCGCCCUCCGGGUGAGUAUCUGGCUCGGCCUGGGCAUCUUCUUGGAGAACGUAGCUGCACUUGGCUGUGUGGUGCGGUAUUCAGGACUUUUACUUUGAGGAAAUUAGAGUGUUUCAAGCAGGCAUACGCCUUGAAUACAUUAGCAUGGAAUAAUAAGAUAGGACCUCGGUUCUAUUUUGUUGGUUUCUAGAUCUGAGGUAAUGAUUAAUAGGGAUAGUUGGGGGCAUUCGUAUUUAACUGUCAGAGGUGAAAUCCUUGGAUUUGUUAAAGACGGACUACUGCGAAAGCAUUUGCCAAGGAUGUUUUCAUUGA